CAUCGCCACGGUAAUACAGAGGGUGCGAGCGUUAAUCGGAUUUACUGGGCGUAAAGCGUGCGUAGGCGGCUUCUUAAGUCGGAUGUGAAAUCCCUGAGCUUAACUUAGGAAUUGCAUUCGAUACUGGGAAGCUAGAGUAUGGGAGAGGAUGGUAGAAUUCCAGGUGUAGCGGUGAAAUGCGUAGAGAUCUGGAGGAAUACCGAUGGCGAAGGCAGCCAUCUGGCCUAAUACUGACGCUGAGGUACGAAAGCAUGGGGAGCAAACAGGAUUAGAUACCCCAGUAGUCCCUGUCCUUAUACAC
rnacentral:rRNA from 1 species